UUUUUAAGGUGGAAGUCGAAUGUUAGAUCUCUGUACUAAAUCAGAUGUUUCUUGAUUUCGCUUCCCAGACAACCUAGAUGGUUUUUUUUUUUUUUUUUUUUUGUUUUUUGGGAUUUCUGGUUUUGUGAUGGAUGAGGGUUUUGGAAGUUGAAGGCAGUUGAAUGGGUGGUUGGUUGACUUUUUUGUGGGUUGAAAAAUUAGGGUUUUUGAGGGUGGAGCUCUCUUGAAGUCCAAAAGAGGGUGUAACUGGGAAGAUUGAGCUGCUAACCUAUGGAUUCCUCAGCCCUAUCGAAACCCAGAUUUGAUAGGGUUGUGGAUUGCAUAUGUUAGGAGCUUCAUUACCCAUGUUUGGAUCCUUGUUUGGAUUGAAGGGAGCUCCGCACGCACACAUUUCUUAGUUUUCUCAGUGGUUUUUUGAGGUUGUCUGUGUUCUUGUCUGAUGAUAUAUAUAUCUCUCUCUCUCACGCUCACUUGAUGCCUGGCCUGAGCUUUCUUGAUUUUCUCUAAGAUUUUGGCUUGUUUUUGAUGUAUUCUUCUGCGUGUUGUUUAGGUUAUAAUGAUUCUUAGAAUUUGUUUGAAUUUGGCACCUGGGUUCUGAGUUGAAUUUGGUGUUUAGAUUUUUUAUGCCAUUUCAAGAUUGAGAAGAAAGGGCAAGUGGAUCUACGGAAAGAUUUGGUUGCAGUUGAGGAGCUAUUCCCCAGAUGGUGGUCCAAACUGUGCCAGCUGCCUACCACAUCCCAGCUUUAACUAUUUUGUCCUCAUUUGAUCUGAAGAAAAUCAGAAAUCGAGACUUUUUUUCUUUUUUUUUUUUAAUUAAUUGUACGUAUUUUGAUUUUUUUUUUUCCAUUUGUAAUUAUUGUUUCAUUUAUUUAUAAGUCAAUGCAUUCUGUAUUUGCACAAAAAAAGUAAAGUGUCAUUAAUAUUAACAUCUUGUAUGGAUUCUCAUUUAUUUGUGAAAGUGUACACUAACCUUUACGAUUCU